rnacentral:rRNA from 1 species
GAUGAACGCUGGCGGCGUGCCUAAUACAUGCAAGUCGAGCGAAUGGAUUAAGAGCUUGCUCUUAUGAAGUUAGCGGCGGACGGGUGAGUAACACGUGGGUAACCUGCCCAUAAGACUGGGAUAACCCCGGGAAACCGGGGCUAAUACCGGAUAACAUUUUGAACCGCAUGGUUCGAAAUUGAAAGGCGGCUUCGGCUGUCACUUAUGGAUGGACCCGCGUCGCAUUAGCUAGUUGGUGAGGUAACGGCUCACCAAGGCAACGAUGCGUAGCCGACCUGAGAGGGUGAUCAGCCACACGGGGACUGAGACACGGCACAGACUACUACGGGAGGCAGCAGUAGGGAAUCUUCCGCAAUGGACGAAAGUCUGACGGAGCAACGCCGCGUGAGUGAUGAAGGCUUUCGGGUCGUAAAACUCUGUUGUUAGGGAAGAACAAGUGCUAGUUGAAUAAGCUGGCACCUUGACGGUACCUAACCAGAAAGCCACGGCUAACUACGUGCCAGCCGCCGCCGUAA